AUCGAUAUCAUCGGUAUGAAAUCGGAACCUAGAGAAGCCAAACAGGUAUCAAAUGGAUAUCAAUCUCAUAAAUAUUCAUGUAAACUCAAAAAACUUCUUGCAUGGGCCUUGAAUGACGUCUACGACGAAGUUAUGACAAAAUAACGCGAACAUGUCACUAAGGUUGAUCAUUAGAUUUCGAAGAAGGCUUAUCGGUAAACUUUGGUCUCUCAAUCUCAUCACUAUUUUCUACCGCGGCAUAAGCGCCGCAGUCAAUCUUUCUUUUCGUCGAACUGGCUGUGGCGGUGUACCAUUUCUUUUGGAUUGAAGCUUUGGGCUGGUUCCUUCGCAUUUAAUUACGAAACAAUUUCUUAAAUCCAGAUAUGAGGUCCCUCGUGCGCUUGGCGGCUGGAGCGCGCCAGCUUUCCACGUCCGCUGCCAGACAGGGUGGCGUUGCCGAUUAUGGCGGUAUUCCCAUGGCGAACUGGCCGUUCAGUGUGAAGAACAGGUUUGCUCUCACCCUGGGAUUCGUCCUGUUCUGUGGCAGCGGCUUCUCAGUUCCGUUUGUCAUGGUUAGGCAUCAGCUGCUGAAGAAGUAAAAUAUGUCUGCGGGUAUGGUGGAGUGAUGAGUAAAAACACAUGCAGUGUAUAUAAUCGAACGCUGAGCGAUACGCCGAUCCAAUACAUGUCUCCAAACUA